UACGGAGGGAGCUAGCGUUGUUCGGAAUUACUGGGCGUAAAGCGCACGUAGGCGGCUUUGCAAGUCAGAGGUGAAAGCCUGGAGCUCAACUCCAGAAUUGCCUUUGAGACUGCAUCGCUUGAACACGGGAGAGGUGAGUGGAAUUCCGAGUGUAGAGGUGAAAUUCGUAGAUAUUCGGAAGAACACCAGUGGCGAAGGCGGCUCACUGGACCGUUGUUGACGCUGAGGUGCGAAAGCGUGGGGAGCAAACAGG
rnacentral:rRNA from 1 species